GACGCCCCUCCGGGGUAAGUGAGAAGGUGGCGGGCCUCGGAGCGUGUGCUGCGUUCGUGACAUGUGCCUGCCGACUCAUCAUCCGUAGGAGCCCCCGUCACCGAG
rnacentral:pre_miRNA from 1 species